UACGGAGGAUGCGAGCGUUAUCCGGAUUUAUUGGGUUUAAAGGGUGCGUAGGCGGAUGCUUAAGUCAGCGGUAAAAUUGCGGGGCUCAACCUCGUCGAGCCGUUGAAACUGGGUGUCUUGAGUGGGCGAGAAGUACGCGGAAUGCGUGGUGUAGCGGUGAAAUGCAUAGAUAUCACGCAGAACUCCGAUUGCGAAGGCAGCGUACCGGCGCCCAACUGACGCUGAAGCACGAAGGCGUGGGUAUCGAACAGG
rnacentral:rRNA from 1 species